AACGAACGCUGGCGGCAGGCUUAACACAUGCAAGUCGAGCGCCCCGCAAGGGGAGCGGCAGACGGGUGAGUAACGCGUGGGAACGUACCCUUUGCUACGGAAUAGCUCCGGGAAACUGGAAUUAAUACCGUAUGUGCCCUACGGGGGAAAGAUUUAUCGGCAAAGGAUCGGCCCGCGUUGGAUUAGCUAGUUGGUGGGGUAAUGGCCUACCAAGGCGACGAUCCAUAGCUGGUCUGAGAGGAUGAUCAGCCACAUUGGGACUGAGACACGGCCCAAACUCCUACGGGAGGCAGCAGUGGAGAAUAUUGGACAAUGGGCGUAAGCCUGAUCCAGCCAUGCCGCGUGAGUGAUGAAGGCCUUAGGGUUGUAAAGCUCUUUCACCGGUGAAGAUAAUGACGGUAUCCGGAGAAGAAGCCCCGGCUAACUUCUUGCCAGCCGCCGCAGUAAUAC
rnacentral:rRNA from 1 species